GAGGGUAUAGCUCAGUGGUAGAGCACGUGCUUAGCAUGCACAAGGUCCUGGGUUCAAUCCCAGUACCUCA
rnacentral:tRNA from 1 species